AAGAUGUAUGAAAGGCGAGAAGGUUAGCACUCCCCUUGACGAGGGUAGAAGAGGCCCUUGGUCCUAACAACAGGCAUACGGUUAAGGCACUGCCACCAAUUUGUGGCAUCUAACCACCUUGUUGU